GCCCCCGUAGCCCAACCGGCAGAGGCAGUCGACUUAAACUCGACCCAGUGCGGGUUCGAACCCCGUCGGGGGCACCA
rnacentral:tRNA from 1 species